UCCGCGAGUUCCGUGUAUGUUGCGGAAAAUACCCUUUUUGGGCGUCCGACCACAUGUGUGAAUUGUGAACAAAAUAUGGAUCUUUAGUUAUUUUCAGGUUUGGAGAGCCAUAUUUAGUGUGAUCGAUACACGUAAUCGAUAGAUAAAGUGUGCCCGGAGCGUUGUGUGUCGCUAAAAAGUUGGAACAAGUCAACGGAAGUGAAUUUUUUCGAUGUAAAUACGGUCGAUCCAGGGUCAGUCUGGUGUGCAUUUUGAACUGUGCGCAUAUUUCUCCCUGAUACUCUAUAACUGCGUUCGAUACAUCAACAUUACCGAGUUUGACCUUCGUAAGAUCGGGAAAGUUCUGAAUUUCGUGGGUCCGACCCGCAACAUGCCGUCGUGCUAAGGGGCAUGGCGGCGCGCUCGUGAUCCUAGGUCGGCGCGGAGCGCGCGCCCGGUCUUAUAUAACGUGGGUAGCAGCGGCAUGGCCGCGCGUGUGUCGGUCGAGGGCGCAGGGCCCUCGUACGCCUCUGUGCUAAACUUCAGAGGAAGUGAUUGUAAUAAAGAGAACAUAGAGGCGACGGAGGAAGUGGCGGACGCACCGCCGCGACAGGACGACGAGGAGGAGGAGGGCUUUGUGCCGGUCAUCUCUCACGCGAGGAGACCGGCCAAGAGUCGCAGGGAGCGAGAGCGCAGGGCACCACCUCGCCCGCACAAGGCACCCCAACCUCAUGCUGAACCAGGCCAACAGCCAACAGCGGAGCAACAACAGCAAGCAGCUGAAGCUCAGCCUAAGAAGUUUGUUGAAGCACCCAUCCCUAAGGUCAAUCCUUGGCAGGUGCGAGGUGGGAGUACUGGCGCACCGCCUCCAGCGCCUCCGGCCCUUGAAGAGAAGAGGUCUCCUCUACAGCCGCAGCAACAGGGAAGGGCGCAGUUACCACCAGAGCCCGUCCCGCCACCUCCAGCUCCGAAACCAGCCGUCGUGAAGCCGCCAAAGAAUGCCAAGAUAAAUCAGAAGGCGUCCGACUUCACGGAUAUCGGUGAUGAUUGGCCAACGCUAGGGGCGGCAGUCGCUGGGGCGAGAUGUCAUUCGACACCACCGCCCCACGAGGACUCCGCACACCAUAACGGAAACGCGGAUCAAGAACGGAAACCGCUCGAAGAGCAACAGGUGAAGGUGGAGAAGGUCGAACCGACUCAUAAUCACCAGGGAAACAACGACAGACAUUUGCAACACGAUAAGAACAAAGCAGCAGCUGGUAAGGGUGGCAGCAAGUCCGGCAAGCACAAAUGGGUGCCAUUAGAUAUAGACGUAAAAGCCGCGAGACCCUCGAAACAUGGACCACAGCAUCCGCCCAGACAAGAUCACGACACGGUGUCGCUGAACGGCGAGGAGUCCCGCGGGCGCGGCGCGGGGCGCGGGAGGGGCGCGGCGAGAGCGCGCGGGGCCCGCCGCGCCGGCGCGCGCGCCGCCUCGCUGCACCCGCCGCCGCACGCGCUCUACCACCACCCCGACAUGCCGCAGCUGCGCGUUCAGCCGGCCAUACCGCAGGUGGUGCUCCGGUACGGUAUCGGCGGUCUCCCCAUCGCGCCGCUCGCUCAGGCGUUCUACUACGGCGCGGCCAGCGGGGCUCCGUACGGUAUGGCGUUGGAUCAGGCGACGCUCAAGGACCUCAUCAAGAAUCAAAUCGAGUACUACUUCAGCCCCGACAACCUGGCGCGCGACUUCUUCCUGCGGCGCAAGAUGUCGGCGGACGGCACGAUCCCCGUGACGCUGAUCGCGUCGUUCCACCGCGUGCGCGCGCUCACGGCCGACGUGCAGCUCGUGCUCGACGCCAUCCGCGACUCCGAGCGCCUGCAGCUCAUCAACGGGUUCAAGGUGCGGACGGCCUUCGAGCCCACCAAGUGGCCGAUCCUCGACCUCACCAACCACGAGGACGACCGCGAGAGGCCGGACGACUCCGAGAAACGAGGCGACGACGAGAGGAUACAGAGUAAAGAAGUGCCCGAGAAGGCGAAAGAGGCGGAGGCUGCUGUCGAAGUUGCGCAAAAACCAACGCCGGUCGAACCGGAAGACGAAAAGAUUUCAUCAGCCACAGAACCCGAAGAAGUGGCUGAAGCGAAGCCAGAUAAAUCAGAGCCAACUCCGGAAGAACCUCAGCCGACUCCGCAGGAACCUAAACCGACUCCACAGGAACCUCAGCCGACACCAGAGGAACCAUCGCUCCCUGAAGAGAAAGAAACAGACGAGAUUAGAGAAGGGAGCGAGAAGAUUGAUUCCAACGAUGACCCCCCGCUACAGCCUGAGAUUGCAGACAAACCCGGGGAGAAACGUCGCAAGAAGCAGAUGGUGGGUAUAUUCCCCCUGGCCACGAUGGGCGGUCCGCUCGUGGCGCCCGUGUCCAGCCUGCUGCGCGCCGUCCCGCCUCCGCCGCUGCCCAGAAUGUUCCGCACUGGUCGAACGUCGUUGCUGGCCCACGACCAUCUCAACCCAGACGUGCCCGAAUUCGUGCCGCAAGCUAGACGCGCUGAAGAACCGAGUUCUGAGAAAUCAAAUAUUCAAGACGGUCAAGCGAGCCUCGAGAACGUCGAUCCUGAUGUCUGGACCGAGGUGAAGCGGCGCACGAAGGCGGGCUCGCGCGAGCGCGCCGCCCCCGCGCCGCCCGCGCCCGAGGACGAGCCGCGCGAGGAGCUGCACUUCCAGCUCGACGAGGAGCUCGACCUGCCGCCGCCGCGCCACAACACCUUCACCGACGCCUGGUCCGACGAGGAGUCCGACUUGGAGCUGUCGGAUCGCGACAUCGGCCGGCUGUUGAUUGUAACGCAGACGGCGACCCGCCAGCCCAAGCACGACGGGCACGACCGUCAGGGCGACUGGGCAACGCGCACCAAGAUCACUCAGGACUUGGAGCAGGUGAUCACGGAUGGUCUCAGACGCUAUGAAGAGGACCUAUGGAAUGAAUUUUCAUCGUCGUACAGCAGCACGCCGCAGUACCGCACCGUGUCGCUCAUCUCCCGCGAGCAGUUCGAGGCGGCCGCGCCCGCCGAGCGCCACUGCAACCCCAGCGAGCCGCCGCCGCCGCCGCCCAGACCCGCCGUGGAGCAAACACAAGAUGGAGGCGGCAAAAUGCGACCGAGACGCACGGCGCGCUUCUACGCCGCCAACAAGGACCCGCACGCCACCGACGUCAUAAGCAGCAGGAAGCACAAGACCCGGCACAGUCUGAACCCGCCGGUGGAGCACCACGUGGGAUGGAUCAUGGACGUCCGUGAGCACAAGCGAACGCAUCGCGACAGUACCGGUUCGUCGCUGGGAACGUCCCCGACGCUGGGCUCGUCGUGCGGCUCCGUCCCGCAGUCGCUGCCCGCCUUCCACCACCCGAGCCACGGCCUGCUGCGGGAGAACCACUUCACCCAGCAGGCCUACCACAAGUACCACUCCAGGUGUCUUAAGGAACGCAAGAAGCUCGGUAUCGGCCAGUCUCAAGAAAUGAACACGCUGUUCAGAUUCUGGUCGUUCUUCCUACGGGACCACUUCAACAGAACCAUGUACAACGAAUUUAGGACACUGGCUAACGAGGAUGCGUCGGCCGGUUUCCGCUACGGGCUCGAAUGCCUGUUCCGUUUCUAUUCGUACGGUCUAGAACGGAAGUUCCGCCCCGAGCUAUAUCAGCACUUCCAGGCUGAAACGCUCGCUGACUACGAGAAAGGUCAAUUGUACGGUCUGGAAAAAUUCUGGGCUUUCCUAAAAUACUACAAGCACGCGACGGCGCUGCAAGUCGAGCCGAAGCUUGAAGCGCAUCUCGCUAAGUUCAAGAGCAUCGAAGACUUUCGUGUGCUAGAGCCGCAGCUGAACGAGCUGCUGGCGUCGCAGGGCGCGGCGGGCGCGGGGCGCGGCCCGCACGCGCGGCCCUACGACCGGCACCGCUCCGUGUCCGAGAGCGAGCGCCACCUGCAGGCCUACCGCGGCAGCUACGGGCGAGCGCCGUCCGGCACGGCGGGCCCGGGGACCAACCGCGGGCGCGCCGGCUCGUGCGGCGCGCAGAGCGUCAUCGCCAACGCCCGGCCGCGGCCGAAACCCAAGUCGAAACCGGAAGCCGCGCCGAACGAGUUGAAAGCGCCAGUGGCCGCUAAGACGCAGUAAUGAUACGACAUACGAACACUGUACAUAUGAGUAGACCCGUGUGCAUGUGUUACUUAUCUAGACUUUUAAAGUGCAUUUUUUAUAUAUAUAAAUUACAAAAAAAAAAUACUAUAAAAAUAAAAGUGAGUAAAAGUGUUGUGUGCGGAUCGCGCCGGUGUUUAGUGUUGACUAGUCGCGACCGGUUCGAGCCGGUUGCGGCCGGUUCCGAUCUGGCUGCGCGGGCGGUGUGCGGUUACUGGGAUUGCAGGCUGGUUAUAUGUGGAGCCUAGCUUGUACGCAUCGACAAUAAGCAAUAUGCUACGCGGUUUAGACGCCACUAUCAUAAUAGCGUAAGAUAACCAUAGAAACAUACAAUAUAUACAUAUAUAUGUAUUUAUAUAUUUUUGACGUGUAAAGUUAAUAUUUCGAUACGAACAUCUAAAAUGAAUAUAUGCAUAAUAGUGACACUCUUAGUCUAAUAAACAUAAUAUAAAUCAAUUAAAUAAGUACGAUUAAUGCUUGGUAGAUUAAGGUUUGCCAGUGGAUACGCUGGGUUUGACGGGGGAGUGAGCGACCAGUGUAUUAAGUGUUCGGUUUGCGAUAUGUUUAUUGCCUGACUCGACAUGUUUUUGAACGAUGAAGUUGUUUGUGUUGUUUCAGAACUAAUCGCGCACAUACGAACUAGAGUAACGGAACGUAUGCCUUUUUGUGAUGGCUAUAUAUAGUUGUCUCUCUCUGUUGCACUCGUACGAAAUCCAAUACCCAAAAUAUAGCUUAAUGUCGAAGUUAUGAGUCGUAAGAUUAGCUAAUUUUAUUUCGUUUUUAAUUAGUGAAUUGAUCUCUGACCUCCAGAUAGCUCGACAGGUCUGCACACUGAUGGCUCACUCUACGCUGUCCGUGGUCCGAGUGGUGCUGCGUAUCGUCUAUGGUCAUUGUAAGUGGCCGGCGCAGAUCUCUAGUGGCGAAAAUUGUAAAACUGUACAGUUAUAGAUAUUCUUUCUCUGGUUAAAUAGAAUUGAUAUUAAAAAAAAAAAAAAAACGAACGACGAAUCGUCGCUAAGACUGGCUAUGUGCAUAUUUAGUAGAGAAAUUGUUGUUUUUUUAUUUCUUUGGUAGCACUAUUGUUUAUGGUUAAAAACGUUUGACUGCGUACUGCGGAUUUGAGAAAACAUCGAAACAAGUUUCAUCAUGAUUGAUUUUUCAUAGAAAUUUCGGAGCAAAAGUUUCAAUUCUGUGAUAAAAAUGGUAAAAAAAAAACAAAACGAUGAAACAAUACGUUUUUCAGACCGCGUUUCGAAUACUGCCACUUGUAAUAUUAUGACACAAUCAAACACACAAAUUCCUUAGAAAUAACCGCGUGGUGAUUCAAACGCUACACCGUAAAUGGUAAAACUUUAACAGUUGAAUAGAGGCAUGGCGCAGUAACAUUCACCAUUCCUUGCUCCGCUCUGCCAGUCUGAUUGACGAGUGACUGGUGCCCACUCAACGCAAAGCUCUACCACGAAGUCGAGAGAAUACCUUUUCUAGAAACAUCCGUAACUACGACCGUCUCGCUUAAAUGGAUGCGAAACUUUUGUAAUACCAUCCGAUUCAUUCGUUAAAUAUCACCAAAGCCAUUAUGAGAUAGAUUUAGUUUGGAGAUGGUUGUCCAUAACAUAUAUAUCUCGAGGCUUUAAAUCGCUCAAAAUAUUACAUGUGUAUAUAUUCGUAAAGAUUUUAAUGGAUAUCGUAAGGCGACAUUUGAUAUGUUUGUAAAAGCUAUAUGUACAGACACUAGCAUUAUCGUCUAAAUUAAAAAAAUAUAUAUGUCUCGCUCUAACCAUAC